rnacentral:rRNA from 1 species
UACGUAGGCAGCAAGCGUUUGUUCGGAAUUAUUGGGCGUAAAGGGUGCGUAGGCGGUUUGGUAAGUCUUAUGUGAAAUCUACAGGCUCAACUUGUAGUCUGCAUGAGAAACUGCCGGGCUUGAGUGUGGGAGAGGUGAGUGGAAUUCCUGGUGUAGCGGUGAAAUGCGUAGAUAUCAGGAGGAACACCUGUGGCGAAAAGCGGCUCACUGGACCAUAACUGACGCUGAUGCACGAAAGCUAGGGGAGCAAACAGG